CAUCCUACACAGGGUUGUGGGGAGCCUGGAGUCUAUCCCAGGGAACUCGGGGCACAAGGCAGGGGACACCCUGGACAGGGUGCCAACCCAUCACAGGGCACAAUCACUCGUGCACACACACACUGGACAAUUUUGGAGAUGCCAAUCCACCUACAACGGAUGUCUUUGGACUGGGGGAGGAAACCCCUGAAGCACAUUUGCAGGGACAUCCAGAAAAUUUAGUGAAACCCAGUCAUUGAUCUUAUUGGAUAAUUAGUCUCUAAUGAUUUGACCUUGUUUGUUACGCUGCUAAAUAUUUUCCAAAGGUAUGGAAGUGAUGUUAAGUCAGCAGAUGUAUUGCGUGGGUUUGUGUUCUCUCUCCCUCCCCCUGUUUUUUUCUCACAGGUCGCUCUGCCCUAAUUCGUUGUGCUGACGUGCUGCACGGGGAUUGGAGAGGAGAAGAUUGUCCCUCUUUUAAAAAGGAGGACGAACAAUAUGUUGGGAGGAAUGCGGAUGUGUGGGGUGUCUGUGUUUGCGUGUGUACGAUUGAGUAGCGAAUGUUUUUCCUGGUGUUUGAGUGAAAUCGCUUGCUUGUUGUGUUGUGUACAAGUGAAAGAAGUGAGUGGAAGUAUAUUGUGUUGUCCCAUUCCCCUGUUUUGUCUUGUGUUGUGGCUGAGUGUACGCCUGAAUUGUAAAUAUAUCUUUCAUUGUAAAUAUUUCUCUUCUUACUGUCAUGAAAGCUGUAGGGGUUGUGUGGCGUUUAUUUUUGGGCUCUACCUUUUGUUCGCUGUUUUUGCCUCAGUGAGGGAGUCAGGGCUCAGGACGUUCCCCCGCAGCUGUUGAGCCAGAGAGAGCUGAAAUGGUUAGAGAUACUGAAGAACUGGGACAAAAGGAUCAACAAGAGAUUUAAGAAGGAUGCGGUUCAGCUGGACGGAGAGAUCCUGCAUGCGCUGUUGAAGCGAGUGUGUCCUGUGGCGUAUCGGCACCUGGACAAGCACAAGAUCGAGCCGGUGCUCUACAUGAUGGAGUGGUUCAUGUGCGCCUUCUCCAGAACUCUGCCCUGGGCCUCAGUCCUCCGAGUGUGGGACAUGUUCCUGUGUGACGGUCAGAAGAGUGUUAAUGGUGUUUACUGCUCAUCUGGAGAGUCACCGCCAUCUUUCUGCAGGGGGUUAGAAGGUACUGCUCAAUGGUUUUAUUUGUCUAUUUGUUUGAACUUUACACUUUAAUAUUAGUUCAAAUCUAUGUGUAUGUUUGGCUUUUCCUCUAAAAACGAGUGUUUGGAGAGUUAGCAUUUCUCAUUUCUGCUCUCCAAACAAAAAAAAAACCAACAACGUUUAUUAUAUUUAAAUAAUAAUAAUUAUAAAAACAACGUUUAUUAUAUUUAAAUCUGUAAUUAGUAGUUAUUUGUUUUAAAAGAGAUUAUUUUCUGUGGGAGAUUGUGUAAAAUGUACAUAUAGAGCAGAAGGGUUUGCAUGUGCCUUUACUAAAUUCAAUAACUUGACUUUUGAUGGGUCACUUAUGCACAUACUUGCUCACUAAAAUGGCGGGUGCUUGCGUCUUCUUGUUCAGCUUCCUCUUUGUCUGUAAGACAGUGUUGUACUUGAGCGCCAUCAAGUGGUACUUUUAUGUAACUUCACCGGCUCCGGGCACGUGAACAAAAGCACGAAUCUCAUUGGGCGGCCAGUUUUUGCUGCUUUGCCGCCACGUGUUUUAUGCCCGAGUGUGAAAACUCAUUGACAGUGACAGGGGGCGUUAAACAGACCGUUUUCAACCGUCCCCGUGUGAACAGGGCUUUAGGUGUUCAUUGUGUGCAUUGUAGUGCGUUGUUCCUGUCGUGGAAAUUAGACAACACUCACAGACUCGUCCUCUGAAGGUAAAAAGGUUUAUUACAGAAAGAUGGUUAAUACAGGAUAGAAUAAAGCAGGACAGAAUAAUGAGAGCGCUCUGAAGUGCUUAUACUAAACCACUACUAUAUAUAUGAAACUCAGAGCAUGACAUCAUUCUGUCUACCGAUAAGCAGUUUGAGGCAGUUCAAACAGGCUUUGUUUUAGGAUCUUAGAUGAUGUUUAGACGAGCCUAGAACAGAAGAACAUGUUUGUGUCUCUGUAAGCAGAUAAACAUUCUGAUCUCAGUGACAUCACAUGGCCUUCUGGGUCGUUAUCCUCACAUGAGAAUGAAACAGAACAAGAAUAAAACUAUUUCAAAGUAAAAAUGAAUAAUUUCCCUCACAGUGUAAUGAACAGAAACUGCUGUUUGUUAAUAACUGGAAUCUGUUCUGGGAGCGUCCUAGGUUGUUUCGUCCUGAUGGCCUGCACCCCAGCAGCCUCGGAGCGGAACUGCUGUCUGACAACAUCUCCAAGACGCUACAGACCAAGUGACUGUCUACCGUAAGCACAUCUUCUACAAUAACAAUGUUCAUCAUAAGCAAUGUUCAAUUAAUAGUCCAACACCUGUAGUACAUACUAUAGAGACUGUGUCUGUUCCCCGAGCUAUACAAAUACAUACACAAUUUCAGAAUGUUUAUUUUAGUAACCUAAUUAACCUAAAAUUAGAUCAUACUGAAUGCACAUCCAGCACCUUUAAUCUGAAGCUAGGACUAUUAAACAUUAGAUCUCUUGCGUCUAAGGCUCUUAUUGUUAACGACAUCAUUACUGAUCAGGAAUGUAAUUUACUGUGUUUAACGGAAACUUGGAUUAAACCAAACGAGUACAUAGCAUUAAAUGAAGCCAGUCCUCCUGGAUACAGUUAUGUACAUCAGCCUCGUUCAACUGGUAGAGGAGGAGGUGUUGGUCUCAUCCAUAGUCAAAAUCUAGGCGUCACACAAAAACCUAGUCAUAAAUUUAAUUCUUUUGAAAUUCUUUACACCAGUAUAACUUAUGUAGCCACAAAAAAUAAGUCAAUUCCUCUAAUUAUUAUUUACAGACCCCCAGGGCCAUAUACUGAAUUUCUUAGUGAAUUUGCAGACUUUAUCUCAAACCUGGUUGUGUCUGUAGAUAAAGCAUUAAUCGUCUGUGAUUUUAAUAUUCAUUUUGAUAACCCAGAAGACCCUCUGAGAACAGCGGUUGUGUCCAUCUUAGAUUCAGUAGAGGUCAAUCAGAACGUAAUCGGGCCUACUCAUAAUGGUGGUCACACUCUUGACCUCA